UGGGCGGUGGCGAACCGGUGAACGCACCUCUCUGAUAAGGAGGCAUUGGAGGGUUCAACUCCCUCUCGCCCAAC
rnacentral:tRNA from 1 species